UACAGAGGGGGCGAGCGUUGUUCGGAAUUACUGGGCGUAAAGGGCGCGUAGGCGGCCCGCUAAGUCGAACGUGAAAUCCCCAGGCUCAACCUGGGAACUGCGUCCGAUACUGGCAGGCUUGAAUCCGGGAGAGGGAUGUGGAAUUCCAGGUGUAGCGGUGAAAUGCGUAGAUAUCUGGAGGAGCACCGGUGGCGAAGGCGGCAUCCUGGACCGGUAUUGACGCUGAGGCGCGAAAGCGUGGGGAGCGAACAGG
rnacentral:rRNA from 1 species